UGGAGCUAAUCCUUCGAGAUUUCACAUUACUUGUAAAGAAUGUACGAGAUAUAUGAAUUGCUAUGUUCUGUCAAAAUUGCUAUAGUUUCCUUCGAGAUUCCACAUUGCUUGUGAAGUAUGCAGGAGAUAUAUGAAUUAGCAUGUUCUGUCAAAAUUGCUAGUUUUGAUGAAAAACUUGUACUGUUUUUUUUUUUUAUACGUUUUUCCAAGAAUUAAUAAGGCAUAGAUAUGGAUGGUAUAUGGCGAAUCUUGUCGAAAUCCUCCCCUUCUUCUCCAUCGAUAACUUGAAUCCUGUUCUUAAAUUCUUCUGGCAUCCAAAAGAUUUGCAGUUGUUGUAAAGUAGUGAUAGACUUCAAUCCUUGAGGUAGCAUUUUCAAUUUCUGAACUCUUAUUAUACAUAAAGUCUCUAGACAUUUCAUUGCAUUUUCCUCUACUAUCCAUUCUUCUACUUCCUUCAACCGACGAAUAUGAAGUCUUUCGAGUUGAGGGAAUCCAUUGGCAGAACAAACCAGUUUAGACCCUUGAUAUGAAUCUUCAUCUAAUGCCAGAAAUCUUAAAUUAGGCAGCUUUUCUAGUAUAACCAUUGGAUCCUGCUUUAACUUGGAACCGAACAAUCCUAAUUUGGAAAGACUUGCUGGUAGAAAUUCCAAGUUAUGAUGGAGAGAAUUUGAGUCUUCUAGUAUAUGUCCAUAUAACUUUGCUUUAAUUAGCUUCUGGCAACUAGAAAGUGGUUCUAAACUUGGAAAUAAACCUCCUGGUAACAUCAACAUUUUCAAGGAGCGAAGACGACCUGAUGCGAAGAUAAGAGAGUUUAGAAUUAAAUCUGCUUCCUCUAUUUUCUCAAAUUCAAUUCCUAUGUUUCUAAUAUUGUUCAAUUUGGACAUUGCAUCUCUUCUUAUCAGAUUCUUUGCUUUUAUCCACUUCAAAGUCUCAAGUUCUGUUAACGUGUCCAGUCUAAACCUUCUUGCAACUGUUCUGUCUACUAACAAAUGCCUUAAACUUUCUAAUUUCCAGAAUACAUUAGGGAAGCUUAUCCAAUAAUUAUCUCUCACAUCAAGAGUGUAUAAAUUCUUCAAAUCACCUAUUGACCAUGGCAAUAGUCCUCGUAGUUCAGUUUCUCGUAAUCCGAGAUAUCUCAAGUGAAUCAUAUUACCAAUUUCUUGAGGGAGGUAUAUUACAAUUAGCUUCUGCAGAUUCAAUACUCGUAGUAGUCUAAAAUUCUUGAAAACAAAAUCUUUUUGCUGCUUUGUCAUUAAGAUGUAGUCAUUAUUUCUAAUGAAGUAAUAAAGAGAACAAACACCUUCCAACAUUGGUAUAUAUGAAAUUGCAAUAUCAAUUUGUCGGUCUGCACUAAGAUGAGCAGCAACUCUUCGUGUUGUUAACUGCAAAUUCUGAUUAGUACCAGGAUAAUCCGAAACAUGGCGUCUAAUGACACCAAGAAAAUUCUCUUCUCUUGCCUUUGACAAGCACAUAUCUCUAAUAAGAUCAUGAAUGUGACAAGAUUUUAUACUUACUUUAGUGUAUUUCAUUUCGUGUACUUGAACUAUGCACCUACUAACUAGUUCUUCUAAAUAUUGUUCUGCUACAUCUUCUAUUGUCUCAUCUUCUUCUCCAUCUAAUGGUUUUGACACAAAACCUUCUGCAAUCCAAUUCCUAAUUAAUGUUGUUUUAUGAAUAUGCUUUUUCUCAGGAAACUGAGAAAGAUAAAGAAAGCAUGGCUUUAAGCGAAAUGGUAAAUCAUGGUAACUCAUGUAUAAUAUGGCAUGCACUCCAUGGUGUGACUUGCUGAUUUCUAGUUCCAAUUUUCUUUGCACAGCCUCCCAUUCCUCUAGCGACUUCUUUGUUGCCAAUAAGCCUCCAAGUAAAACAAUAGCUAGAGGCAAUCCUUGACAAUGUUUCACCAUCUCCUUUCCAAGCUUUUCAAACUCUGGC
rnacentral:lncRNA from 1 species